UUGAAUAGCUCGUAGUGCUGUGCUGGCCUCUCGGGGCAUGUGCACGCAUUGCAUUCUAUUAUCAUCUUUUUGUGAACCAGUGUAGGCUUUUUGGCUAGUAGUUUGGUUGGAAGCUCGCAAGAGUGGAAAGCCUUACGAGCGUCAGAAGUCUAUGAUUUUAUACACCCAUUUGUAUGUUUUAGAAUGUCACUUUAUUGACUGCAAAGUCAGUAAAACUAUA
rnacentral:misc_RNA from 1 species